rnacentral:rRNA from 1 species
AACUCGGCAAAUUAAUUCCGUAACUUUGGGAAAAGGAAGAUCUGUUGUGGGUACUAAUCAAACGAGGGGGUGGCGACUGUUUAAUAAAAACACAGGAUUCUGCAAAAUGUAAAAUGAAGUAAAGAAUCUGACGCCUGCCCAGUGCUGUAAAGUAAACACUAAUUAUAUGUAGUUGGUGAAGCUCCAGUAAACGGCGGCUGUAACUCUAACGGUCCGAAGGUAGCGAAAUUCAUUGGCAGGUAAGUUCUGUCCCGCAUGAAUGGCGUAACGACUGCCCCACUGUCUCCAAUUAAAGCUCAAUGAAAUUGCAUAUGAGGUGAAAAUGCCUUAUUUAAUCGCGGGACGGAAAGACCCCGUGCACCUUUACUAGAAUCUUUUAUUAUUAACGGUUGUUACAUUUUUUUUAGUUGUUCCGACUUACUAAUUUUUUUGAAUGACGUUAAAAAAACAGGGCCUACGAUAUCUGUUUUUGAUGGAAGAAUGCUAGUUUGACUGGGGCGGUAACCUCCUAAAAAGUACCGGGGGCGAGCAAAAAAUAAUCUAAAUUUUUGUAAAUGAUAACACAUAUAUGAUUAUUUUGAUAAAGUUUCUUACAAGAAAUUUUAGGAUAGUUUUCUGUCUGCUGUAAUGACCCGAUAACGAAGUUUUCUUAUCGAUUAACGAAUAAAAGGUACGCCGGGGAUAACAGGUUAAUUUCCUUUGAGAGUUCUUAUUGAUGAGGAAGCUUGACACCUCGAUGUCGGCUUAUCACAUCCUGGUUGGGUAUCAUCUGCCAAGGGUCGGCCUGUUCUGCCGUUAAAGUGGUACAUGAGCUGGGUUUAGAACGUCGUGAGACAGUUUGGUCCCUAUCUGCGAUUUUAAAUAGAAAUUAAUUUAGUCUUUACCUUAGUACGAGAGGACUGGGAC